rnacentral:rRNA from 1 species
AUGGCGAUGCAUCCUCAGGCUGCUUCACUCCUCACCCUCAUCCUCCUCCUGGCUACCGGAGACGGCAUCCUCGCCGUCGGCACUCCGUCCGCGAUCAUCACAAGGACAUGCGCCGCCGUCGGCCGAGCCGGUGGGCAACUGGGCUACGAGUACGACUCCUGCGUGGGCGCGCUCUCGUCCGACCCGGCGGCCGCGUCCGCCAAGGACGCGCGUGAGCUCGCCGUCGUGGCCACCAACCUCACUGUGGCCAACGUCACGUCGACGGUGCUCGUCGUCGAGGACCUCGUCAAGAACCUCGGCGGCUGCCUCCGCUACUACAAGGAGAUGAACAGGACCCUUGAGGGCGCGCUCGGUGACCUCCGUGCCGGGCGCGUCGAAGCGGCGUCGGACAAACUGCUGGAGGCCAACCAAGAUCCCGACAAGUGCGACGUGCUCUUGUUCGAGGGGAGCGCGAACAAGAAUCCAUUGGGCAAGGAGAACAUCUACGCCGACUGGCUGUCCCAAUUGGCAUAUGCGAUUGCUAGCUUGCCGGCGCCGAAGCCUCUGCUGUAA